GAAAUGCGAUAAGUAGUGUGAAUUGCAGAAUUCAGUGAAUCAUCGAAUCUUUGAACGCACAUUGCGCCCUUUGGUAUUCCUUAGGGCAUGCCUGUUCGAGCGUCAUCUAAACCUUCAAGCCCUGCUUGGUGUUGGGUGCCUGUCCCGCCUCCGCGCGCGGACUCACCUCAAAUCCAUUGGCGGCCCCCGCGUCGGCCACGAGCGCAGCAGAAGCGCGAACUCGUGAGCCCGUCCGGGCGGCUCCCAGAAGCUACACCCACCCAGUUUGACCUCGGAUCAGGUAGGGAUACCCGCUGAACUUAAGC
rnacentral:misc_RNA from 1 species